AAGUCGUAACAAGGUUUCCGUAGGUGAACCUGCGGAAGGAUCAUUAACACGUAUACAAGCGUUAAAACCCCCCUGUGAACCUUCAUACUCCUGAAAGCCCUCCCGCGCCUUGGCAAUGGACAUCCCUAGUAAAUCAUCGUCUGAAACAGAUUUUGAGUUAGGUACAUCCCCCUGCGCGGGACCUGGCGGAGGCUCAAACACUCUGGUGCCCCCAAGCAACCAUCAUCUGAAAGUGUUGGUGAAUUGUGCAAGGGCGGCGUCGUCAACGCUCGCUGUCGGCCAGCGACCGGAGUCUUCCCUCGACGUACAACCGUUAGGCGCGCGCGUUUGCCAUGCAUGGGGGGGUUUGAAGGGCCUCGUAGUAGAUCACCCCUAAAACCGAACAACUGUUAACAAUGGAUAUCUUGGUUCUC
rnacentral:misc_RNA from 1 species